rnacentral:lncRNA from 1 species
AUGAGGUCUCACUUUGUUGCUCAGGCUGGAGUUCAGUGGCUAUUCACAAGGGGCAAUCAUGGUGCACUACAGCCUUGAACGUCUCAAGUGAUCCUCUUGCCUCAGCCUUCCAAGUAGCUGGGACUACACCUGCUGGCCUGGAACUGGACUUCAUUGCACUGAACUGAGGACUGGUUUCACCUGGCCUCCAAGAAGAAUGCCAGCCAUGUAAAUUACUUUUUGUAUUUAAUAAAGUCUGUAUCUCCAAUAAUGCUAGAAAUUAUAAUUUUAGCACUAAUCCCUAGUUAUCAAC